AUAGUUACCGCAUGGUAACUAUGUAAGAGGUGGCUAUGCUACCGCUUUUGGAUGGGCCCGCGGCGCAUUAGCUAGUUGGUGGGGUAAAGGCUUACCAAGGCAAUGAUGCGUAGCCGAACUGAGAGGUUGAUCGGCCACAUUGGGACUGAGACACGGCCCAAACUCCUACGGGAGGCAGCAGUAGGGAAUCUUCCACAAUGGGCGAAAGCCUGAUGGAGCAACGCCGCGUGGGUGAAGAAGGUCUUCGGAUCGUAAAACCCUGUUGUUAGAGAAGAAAGUGCGUGAGAGUAACUGUUCACGUUUCGACGGUAUCUAACCAGAAAGCCACGGCUAACUACGUGCCAGCAGCCGCGGUAAUACGUAGGUGGCAAGCGUUAUCCGGAUUUAUUGGGCGUAAAGGGAACGCAGGCGGUCUUUUAAGUCUGAUGUGAAAGCCUUCGGCUUAACCGGAGUAGUGCAUUGGAAACUGGGAGACUUGAGUGCAGAAGAGGAGAGUGGAACUCCAUGUGUAGCGGUGAAAUGCGCAGAUAUAUGGAAGAACACCAGUGGCGAAAGCGGCUCUCUGGUCUGUAACUGACGC
rnacentral:rRNA from 1 species